CUUUUUGUACACUGCAGAUUCACACAGCAGGUAUGGCGGCUCUUCAAACAGUGGGCGGGAACCUCUUUCACCCUGCCUGACGUGAGCUUCACCACGACGGAGGAAUGGUGGCUGCAAGCGAGGCGGCAGAUCUCCAAGGCCAUGCGGCGCAACUUUGACACCCUGGUAAUUCUCAUGCAUUGGAGAAUCUGGAAGAAAAGAAACGCCAGGGUUUUUGAUCAAUUAGCCAGCAGUGCAGAUAAAGUCCUGGAUGCAGUCGAGGAUAUUAGUAUUUGGAGGGCAGCGGGUUGUAUCUAUGAUGCAGCCCCUUGA
rnacentral:rRNA from 1 species